rnacentral:tRNA from 1 species
GCCUGGAUAGUUUAAUUAAAACAUUAGUUUUGUAAACUAAAAUUUAACAAAGUUACCCAGACU